GGUUUGCUUGUGGUCUUUCGUAUCCGUCAAAACCCUAAUCGACCGGAGAAAUCGUCAAAAGUUCUUCACAAUAUGAUCGUUCCACGUAAUUUGCAGAUAUGCAUCCCUUGCACAACAGUCCUUCAUUUUUAAAGCUUAUUGAUGAAGAUGACCCGAUAUUUUUGGUGAAGAGCUUCUUUCAGACUCCUUCCCCUACAAGGAACCAUUGAAUGGGUUCCUAUGAGAAGUUGAAGAAAAGUUAUGGAUAAUGAAAACAACGCUCCUUCGUUAUUAAAGUCGAUUGAGGACUAUGAUCCUAUAUUUUUCGAAUUGUUCGUCGACCAAAAACAGUUAUGGAUCAUGAAAACAACGCUCCUUCGUUGUUAAAGUUGAUUGGGGACUAUGAUCCUAUAUUUUUGGAAAUACCAUAUGAUUUUGCAACCUUAUUGUGGGGAGAACAACUUUCAUAUGUCAAUGUCUUAAAAUUAUUGAUGAUGAUUUAUCUUAUGGAUCCUAAAAACAACUCUCAUUCGUUGU
rnacentral:lncRNA from 1 species